GGGUAGUAAAAUUUUUUAAACCUAAAGAAUUUGGCGGUACUUUACUCUUACUAGAGGAACCUGCUCUUGGAUCGAUAAUCCACGUUUAAAUGUACAUGUUUUAGUCUUCAGUCUGUAUACCGCCGUUGUCAGAUUAUUUUUAAAAAAUAUAAUCUAAUUAGUAGUUAAUUGAGACUUCAGGUCAAGGUGCAGCUAAUAAGCAUGGGAGUAGUGGGUUACAAUAGAUUAAAACUAUACGGAUUACUAAAUGUGAGGUUAAUUAUGAAGGUGGAUUUAGUAGUAAAUUAAAAAUAAAAUUCUUUUUUGAAAUGAGCUCUGAA
rnacentral:rRNA from 1 species